rnacentral:rRNA from 1 species
UACGGAGGAUGCAAGCGUUAUCCGGAAUGAUUGGGCGUAAAGCGUCCGCAGGUGGCAAUGUAAGUCUGCUGUCAAAGCGUCUGGCUCAACCAGAUAAAGGCAGUGGAUACUACAUAGCUAGAGUAAGGUAGGGGUAGAGGGAAUUCCUGGUGUAGCGGUGAAAUGCGUAGAGAUCAGGAAGAACACCGGUGGCGAAAGCGCUCUGCUGGACCUUAACUGACACUGAGGGACGAAAGCUAGGGGAGCGAACAGG